AACGACUCUCGGCAACGGAUAUCUCGGCUCUCGCAUCGAUGAAGAACGUAGCGAAAUGCGAUACUUGGUGUGAAUUGCAGAAUCCCGUGAACCAUCGAGUCUUUGAACGCAAGUUGCGCCCGAAGCCUUCGGGCGGAGGGCACGUCUGCCUGGGCGUCACGC
rnacentral:rRNA from 1 species